rnacentral:rRNA from 1 species
GACGAACGCUGGCGGCGUGCUUAACACAUGCAAGUCGAACGAAGUGGCGAACGGGUGAGUAACGCGUAAUCAACCUGCCCUUCAGAGGGGACCACCAGUUGGAACCGCCUGCUAUUCCCCAUUAUUGAGGGGGGGGUUUCAGUUUGAUUGGCUGGUUGGAGGGGUAACGGCCCACCAAGGCGAGGAUAAGUAGCCGGUCUGAGAGGAUGAACGGCAACAUUGGGACUGAGACACGGCCCAGACGCCUACGGGAGGCAGCAGUGGGGAAGUUUCCGAAAUGGACGAAAGGCUGACGGAGCAACGCCGCGUGAGUGAUGACGGCCUUCGGGUUGGAAAGCUCUGUUAAUCGGGACGCGGUACCGGAAUAGAAAGCCACGGCUAACUACGUGCCAGCAGCCGCGGUAAUAC